rnacentral:rRNA from 1 species
AGUGAUCGCUGGCGGCGUGCUUAACACAUGCAAGUCGAACGAGAACGGAAUAUAGCUUGCUAUAUUUGUCAGCUAAGUGGCGCACGGGUGAGUAAUGUAUAGAUAACCUGCCCUUAAGAAAGGAAUAACAGUUGGAAACGACUGCUAAUGCCCUAUAUGCCUUUAAUACAUAAGUAUGCAAGGGAAACGCUUUAGUGCUUAAGGAUGGGUCUGUAUGGUAUCAGCUUGUUGGUGAGGUAAUGGCUCACCAAGGCUAUGACGCCUAACUGGUUUGAGAGGAUGAUCAGUCACACUGGAACUGAGACACGGUCCAGACUCCUACGGGAGGCAGCAGUGGGGAAUAUUGCACAAUGGACGAAAGUCUGAUGCAGCAACGCCGCGUGGAGGAUGACACAUUUCGGUGCGUAAACUCCUUUUAUAUAGGAAGAUAAUGGCGGUACUAUAUGAAUAAGCACCGGCUAACUCCGUGCCAGCCGCCGCAGUAA